rnacentral:lncRNA from 1 species
CUCAUUUCAUAAUGAGGCGCACUUCCGGUUCUAGACCUGGGGAGUGCGGCUCCUGCUUUCUACUAGAGGAUAUACAGAUGAUGCCACAUGUCUAUGGUGAUCUCUCUUCAGCUUUCGGGAAUUGCCUUCAAUCUUAUCCAGAGCAGUGGUUCUCAAAGUUCAGCCUGCAGCAGAAUCAACUGGAGAACUUGCUAAAUGGAGAAUACGAGGCACCCCUAGAGCUUCUGACAGAGCAGGAUUUAAGAGCGAUUACUGAGUUCAAUUUCUCUCUCAAUGGGCACUCGGCAUCAUCUCACUUCAUCAACAACAAAAUAUAUGUUAGCACAACAACAGCUUUUCAAAAACAAAUCAGUUCCAAUUGCUCAGUGGUAAAUAAUUUCCAAAAAGUAUUAUAUUUCUUCUUGGAUAGUUUCUCAUUUUGGUCAAUUGUUCAUGACUGUCAAAAAAAAGUUACAAAACUACAUACAAGAGGAGAAAUCGCUUCGGGACCUGUGUGACUUUGACUCAGAGUUUCACGCCAUUGUCAAACCACAGCCUUCCCAGGAUCUCCCAGUGUUAGUCCAUUAGCCAAACCAGCAGGAUUAUUCAUA